GCCGGGUGUGGUGGUGAGCACCUGUGGUCCCAGCUCCUCGGGAGGCUGAGAUGGGAGGAUCGCUUGAGCCCAGGAGGUCGAGGCUGCAGUGAGCCAUGUUUGUGCCACUGUACUCCAGCCUGGGCAACGUAGUGAGACCCUGUCUCAA
rnacentral:SRP_RNA from 2 species